rnacentral:misc_RNA from 1 species
GAUGAAGAACGUAGCGAAAUGCGAUAAGUAAUGUGAAUUGCAGAAUUCAGUGAAUCAUCGAAUCUUUGAACGCAUCUUGCGCUCCUUGGUAUUCCUUGGAGCAUGCCUGUUUGAGUAUCAUGAGCAAAUCUCAAAGUCAAUUCCUUUUGUUGAUUCAAUUGGUUUUGCUUUGGACUUGGAGGCCUUGCAGAUUUCACAGUCUCUCCUCUUAAAUGCAUUAGCUGGAUCUCAGUAAUUAUGCUUGGUUCCACUCGGCGUGAUAAGUAUCACUCGCUGAGGACACUGUUAAAAAGGUGGCCAGGAAAAUACUGAUUGAACCGCUUCUAACGGUCUAUUAAGUUAGACAAUUACCCUUAAGUUUGAUCUCAAAUCAGGUAGGACUACCCGCUGAACUUAAGCAUAUCAAUAAGCGGAGGA